GAUCGUGUUUGACGCUCCGACGAAGAUCGUGUCUGCAAUCGCUGUGAUUUGUGGUGUGGACUAAGUCGGCUUUGAGCAGGAUCUAUGGAUCGUUUGAGAAGCCGUCGGAGAAGAAGAAGGGGUAUGUGCUUCCCAGGGCUGAUGGUGAAGAUGGUGAAAACUGUCACCGUGAGAAGACUUGGAAGAAGAGGUUUUUCUGUGGGCAUCUUACAGAAGCCAAAUACUGACCAAAACUGGUAUUUGUGCGAGGCAUGAUGUAUUACCGAAAGGCUUUGGAGCUCCAGGCCUUCCUUGAUAUGGCAAAGGAUGAAGAAUUAAUGAAAGGGUACAAGGCUCUCGAGUUAACUAGCGAAGACGCCUCAAAGAGCGGAAAGUCACUCUGGGCUCAGUGUCAAGUCACUUCUUGUUCUCUCUGAACCACAGAGAGGAAAGCCUGUUUUGUUGGUGUCUCUUCUUGAGAGAGCUGCUGAAGUAGUGAAAAACUCGAAUGAUGGACUGUGGAGAGCCUCGUUUGAUGAGUUUUUCACACUUCUUACCAAAUAUUGUAGGAGCAAGUAUGAGACUAUACAUGGACAGAACCAGGAGAAUGCAGCAGCUGAGGUGUUCGAGGCAGCUAUAAAGAGGGAGAUGCCUGCUGAGCUUUUGCGUGCGAGCCUGCGUCAUACGAGUGAAGACCAGCAGAACUUUUUAUUAAACUUUGGUCGUAAAGGUUUUUCUUCACCGCCUGUGAGCGAGUUGAAAACCGGUGCAAGGAGUAGCCAGGUGAACUCUGAGUCUGUCAGGGAUUAACUUUAACAUGGGAGGUCUGUGGAUCAAGCAUGGAGAACGUGUGAGUUGCUGGUGUAGGAAUCUUUCACAAGCUUCAGGUGAUGAAUGUUGUUUUCUUUUCUUUUUUAGAUUGUACGUUUUAGAUCUCUUUAAACUUAUGGUUGCGUGUGAAAGGAUGGGGAAAGAAACAUUGAAAGUGGGAGUUGGUCGGGAGAGCUGUGUUUUUGGUGCUCUGGUGAUGGAGACUCCUAUCUAUGUGUAGGACUCUUUUAGGGUUUUAGGAGUUUGGAAUGGAGACUAGUGUUUGUGACUCUGUACAGGCUGAUGGUGAGUGGUGAUGACGCAAGAUGAUGAUGGGUUAUGAUGGUUUUGAUGCGUGCGGGAGCUAACAGCUUCUUUAUUGCAGAGAAUGUGGUAAAGGUUUCACUUCUUCUAAAGCUCUUUGUGGUCACAUGGCUUGUCACUUUGAGAGAGAGAAGAGGGUGUCAUGUUCUCAUUUUUUUCAGGUCAAGAAGAGUGCAAAGUCAUCAGUCAUCAGUCAUCAGUCAUCAGUCAUCAGUCACGGACUUAUGUAGUAAUCACUUGUGUAGGUCAAGAAGAGUGUAAAGUCAUCUUCUGUAUAUCAGUCACGGGCAAUGCUUACGUACUAACUCUUGUAGUCUUGUAUUCUUGCAAACUCUUGUAGUCAUCAGUCAAGAGUUUUGUGAACUCUUGUAGUCUUGUGAACUCUUGUAGUCUUGUCUAUAUAAACUUUGUAUACCAAACUUUUAUUCACAACACAACACUCUUCUUCAUUCA